CAGUAUGACCCAUUAUACAUUUUUUUUAUUAGUUAUAAAUAAAACAAUGUCAAAUAAUGUUUUUUUUCAGACUCCAACGAUAGCUAUACAAACCCUGCAGAAUCUACAAAGCCAGAGGACAUUGGGAUAGGGCCCGCGUUAUCGAGGACACCUCAGAAAAGCAGGCGUCAAACAAUCAGAGACCCCUCCCAGGCGUAUACCGACACAGAAGGCCCAAUAUGUCGAGAGGAAGAGUUUGAGGCGGGAAGAGGGCGCCCAGGACAUACAUAGUAAAACAGCUAAACCUGAUGAUAAUUUCAAUGCUGGACAAGGAUGAGGAAGAUGUGUUGAUGUAUGAAGCGGCCAAGCAGCUUGAUACAGCCAAUUCUGAGGUAGAAACAAUAUCCAUUCAAGUUGGGCUCAAUGAGAACCCACAUGCUGAACUAGAUCGUCAGGAUAGGUUUCUCACAGCCUUUUACAGCUACACAAAUGUAUGGUUGUUUUACUAAGGCGUCAAUACAGUCAAGAUCUAUCCUUCUGGCAUAGAACAAUGCCUCGCUUGUUAAACAACAAUCUGAUUAAAAAACACCCAAACAAGCGCUGAAAAACUAUGUAACAUGGAUACUUCUAGAAUACCUCCUGAACUCAUAUCCUUAGAAAAUCUUUGGAGGGAGUUGAAAGUCCGUGUUGCCCAGCAACAUUCCCAAAACAUCACUGCUCUAGAGGAGAUCUGCAUGGAGGAAUGGGCCAAAUACCAGCAACAGUGUGUGAAAACCUUGUGAAGACUUAUGAAAACGUUUGACCUCUGUCAUUGCCAACAAAGGGUAUAUAACAAAGUAUUGAGAUUAACUUUUGUUAUUGACCAAAUACUUUUUUCCACCAUAAUUUGCAAAUAAAUUCAUAAAAAAAUCA